AUGAACCCUAGUUUUGCAGAGCAAAUUGAGAUGGUGACGAAGAAGAAGAAGAAUGUUUUGUAGUGGUCAUCAAAGAGUUCCAAUGCCAAAGACUCCCACAAGAAAAAUCCUAGUCGCAGAUAUCCUCCCAAAACCCUAGUCUUGCAUCGCGGUUCAGUUUGCGCGCAUUUCAGCUCCUCCCAUAGCCGUUUCACACCCUUACGCGUGAGGGCCCAGUGUUGCUAGGAGAAACGAACCUAAAACCUUAGGAGGGAGCAAACACCUAAAUUCCAAGUCCAACAUCACCAGGCCAACCCCUUGGGGUUCCUCCUCCGUUUUCGUGCCAGAAGAGUAAGCAUUAACCCGAAGAGAAAGCAUUAACGCUUAGUUUCACAGUUGAAAAGCUCAGUUUUGGUUAUGGGUAUUGGUUAUGAUCCAUCUACUUAUGUCAUCUACUGGAAGUUUGGUUAUAUUGUUCAUUGAGAACUAGUCCUUGGAAACAGAUUGAAGACUUCCCUGGCGGAGUCUUUAAGACAAUUCAUAAGAGAAGGUACGAUUUAAUGGAAUUUUCUCAGAUGGACUGUAUAUUUUACAAGAUUCACCUGAUAAAUGCAAGAUAGUUUCUUUCGACGUGGCGAAGGAGAGAAGCUGUGCUAGAGUUGGGCUACUAGGUGAAAACACGCCUAUGCAUGUAUCAAGAUAAACGCUUACGAUGGCAGAGAUAUCACGGGAAUCCGGUGUAGCGGUUAUGAAUGUUCUAUAAUUAUAUUUGGCACAAAAUCACAUAAAGCCGUAAGUAUCGGCUGUAGUGGCGAUGAAGCGGGAAAAAAACGGAUAUGAAGCAAUAUGCAUUGGGAAACGGCAUACACGUGCCAAUUUCUUGUAUCACCGAUAUAUGAGAGAGUAAUGGUAUGGGAGAGCCGAAAAACCGAUGCGCUACGUAGCAGCCAGUGCUGAUGUCUAAAACCUUGGUAGAAUUAUAGCUUAUGCUUGAUCACUGAUUUUUACAAUGUUGAGUCUUUCACUAAACAUAUACGCCAAACCAAACCUGCAGGGAAGUGGUUGAGUCCCUUGCCUCUGUUGAAGAAUGGCAAAGUCGUCUUGGUGGCCGUAGAAAGUGAUAUCUUAGCGAUUUACCUUUUGAAAAACAGAACAUGUAGCAAUUUACAGAUUCCUUGGAUGCCCAGAACUUAACAAUGUCCUUUUCGGAAAACCUCAGUUUGCUAAAUCCCUUCUAACAAUCUCAAAUUCUUAGUAAUGCCGGGAAGGGAAGGAAGGAGCGGAAAUGGUAAAUUAUGGUUUUUAUACCUGUUGUCCUUCUUUUCCCCUUCAAGUUGUAUCUUUUCAAUGUUAUAAUCAAUCAUUAUGUUAGCUUGCAUGUAUACAGCGCAAUUGAGAUACUACUCUGUGAUGAAACAAAAAGACGUUUCAUUAGACUUCUUUCUUUUCUUCAAAAAGGGGCCUUCUCUGUUUUUGUUUUGUUUUGUUUUAUAGUAUGUUUUGUUGUUUUUCUGACUUUUGUUUAAAUAUAUCUCCAAGUAUAUAAUACCUUAUUUGUUUGUUGGUUUAUGUGGCCAAAGACUAUACCCUAUUACUCAUUAUCUGGAAUAUCCAGUGCCAAUUGUCAACUGUCAAUCACAGCCUUAACUUUACUUACAUUAUCUGUUUAUUAUUGCUGAAAACAUUCUGUAAGUUACAUAACACUUUACAGUUGGAAUGUUGUGUAAUUGAAUUUUUUUAUGCAACACUAGGACAUCCCAAGCAUGUUCUACAAUUUUAUAUUUAUAAAGAUUGAUUUUUUCCCCCACAUUUCAUCACAGCGAUAACAUGUCUACUAAUUGAAGUGACUCCCAAGGCUUUCUUGUUAAUAGUUAUUUUGUUUUUUGAACAGCAAGUGAAUGCAAGAGAUUUUCGGGCAAAAACAAAGAUGGAAUAACAAAAAGGUUACCUGCAUCAGUUGUAUUGCUUUUGUAGCAGUUGCUGCUUGGACUUCGAGCAAUCAUCAAAAAAUUGGGAUUGAGAUCUAUCUCUAUUGUCUAUCCUACAUUUUAGUUUUGUGAUUCACAACUUGCUUUAUUUGUCUUUGGAUUCGCAUGUUGAUCAGACCAUCCUUAGUUGAACUUAACGACUGUUAGAAGUUUAAUACAUGUACUCUGAUUAAACUUUUUACGUGGAUACAGAAUCCUAAAACUUUUACGGUCUCAUAGAAUAUGAGAUGCAAAUUGUAAUUUGGUUUUUGCUCCUGUUUGUGCAACCUGGUUGAACGGUCAGCACCCUAGCUAACGUGCUGUGAGUGUUCCAACCAGUUAGAUUUAUGCCUUUUCAUUGUCUUCCUCCUUGAGAAAUCAGGCUAUUCUACUCCAUCACCUGCGAAGUUCAAGUAGCUUAGGCUUUUCACCCAUUAUCGAGCCGAAUUUGAGCCAAAAGCUCAAGAAAUUCACGUUUGCUUAAGAUAAUAAGUUCAGUUCAGACGAGCUUCUAACAGGCCACAAGCGAGUUGAGUUUGGACUUUUAACUUGGUUCAUUUAACCCUACCACUGCCAUAGUACUAAGCCAAGUUUUAAUGGGUGUCACUUGUCAGGGCCUAUAUAUCCUAAUAGCUCAUACUUGAUGAUUAUGAAGUGCUGGCACAGUCUUAGUUGGUCACAACAGUUGCAGCAAAGAUUGAGUAAAGAAACAAGUCAUCCUUGGAGCCCAACCUUCCUCAUGAUAUCAAUGUGUUCAACCUGCACUAUUUCUGAAGGAUUAAUAAGCCCUGACAAGGAUUUUGGCUCAUGACUCCGAACCAUGUAGUGAGCCUUGCUUCGCCUUGUCUUGCUUGCAGUGCGACUUAGCGGCAAUAUGAAGGACAAAAGACAGUUUCGAAGAAGAAUGGGCAGAUAAGUAAUAUGGAUUAUCUUAGUUACAAGUCUAUGUUGUUUAUUUUGAUAAUAAUUCUGAUGCAAUGAUCUGUUUUUAUUUAGAUGUUUGAAUUAAAAUUGGUGCUAUGAGCUUUGAUGUCAAUUGACCUGGGUUGUAAUGGCUUGCUAGUUGUCCAUGUUUAUAGAACUAGAAGACCAACAAAAUUAAGACAGUUUUCAUGCAACUUUUAGUGUUAUUUUUCCCCUAACUUAUAUUUUUUAGCUGUAUUAUUAAAUUGAUUGUGAAGAGACAUGGUGUUCUCUCUCUCUCUCUCUCUCUCUCUCUCUCUCUCUCUCUCUCUCGUGCGCAAGCGCGAAGCGCGAAUACAGUUUCUUCUGUAUGAAGUCGCUAGCGAGUUAAUUACCUUGCCUACUUGUUCAUAGCUAACAUCUUCUCAAAACUUGGUUGUAAAAAGUUUUACUGUUUCUAGGUGGUGGAUAUUGAUUCUCACUCUGUAAUUUAAACUUGGAUAAUGCCAACUAGUUCUUUUUUUAAAAUGCCUCUAAUCCUAUGGUCCCAAUCAUUUGAAUGAGCUGGGGUCAAUUUUUGGUGAAUCCAUCCACUAUGUAAUGGUGCAAAGUACUAAUUGAACAAGUAGCUUAGCAGAGCUUCUGACAUGAUACGAGGUUCCAUAGUCAACUAUAUCACGAUUUCAUUGUAAACUCAGGCUUCUAUGUAUGAUGUUUGUGCAUGCACUGUAAGUUACCUAAACAUGUUUUGAGUGCGGAUUUGAUAAGAAUAUGACAAUAUUGCUAAGUGUGUUUAGUACUUGCGAGUUUCGACAAUUAUGAUUUUCUAAUGAAGGUAGAUUUGAUAGGAGCUUCUAUUGGACAACACACUUCUCCACAAAUUUGUAAAAAAAUGCAGGAUUAAAUCAUCGGUGAAUUUUUUCUUUGAACAACUGUAACUCUAUUGCACUUGGUGUGUUUGAGUUGGAAACUUGAAGUCUAUAAGAAGAUCACAACAAUAUUGGCAUUGGCGAAACCUGCUGUUAUCCGAAGCAAUAAAGGAACCAUGCCAACUCCCCACACAUGGACGUAAAUGCGAGCAGCAAGUGUAUGUUUAUUUAGUUAACAACCAGAGCCUUGAUUUAAUUGGUCGCUUCCAGGUGCCGUGAUUUGGAAACGUAACGAAAGCAUUUAAACCCAUAUCACCCACCCUCUGGUUCACUUUCCUUUUGCUACUGAUUCUUUCCCUUUCUAUUCACCAUCUCGGGAUGAAACCCUAAAUCCCCAAAUCAACUGUCACUUCUGCUACCCUAUAUCGUCCCAAUUCAUGGCCGCCGAAAACAGCCGUUCAAAAAACCAACAAUUUCCUAAAUAAACUCCAAAAAAACAGCUAGAAAUCCCUCCAUGUGGAGAAUUAUUCAAAUUGCCUGAUCUCCCUCAGGAACUCAUCAUUGAGAUUCUAUUGCGAUUACCUGUCAAGUCAUUGGUUCGGUUCAUAAGCAUAUGCAAAUCUUGGUGCACCAUAAUAUAUGAGCCUCAAUUUGGAAAAAGCACCUCAGUCUUGUGACCAAGGAUGACAACAUUAACAAUUGGAUGGUCAUUAUACGGUACCAGUAUCAUGAUCUCAAAUCGUGUUCUUUACGCUCAUUUUUUCAUGAGCCAUAUGGUCGUGCAGUAGAUCUCUAUUACCCAUUCAAGACUCUGCGACGGGGUGUUGGGAUUGUGGGCUCAUGUGACGGGCUGGUAUGUAUUUAUUAUUAUGAAAAAUUGGUUGACAAUUUUUACAUAUGGAAUCCAUCGACUAGAGAAAGCCACAUUUUGCCGUCUUUCGGGGAAGGAGCUAAUUUUGGGUUUUCUUAUGGGUUUGGAUAUGACUCCUCCAAUGAUGAUUACAAGGUGAUUAGAGUUGCUUUUGCCAAAGGUCCACUAAAAGUCAAGGUUUAUUCCUUAAAAACUGAUUCGUGGAGUAGGAUUGGGGGUUUCCCUAGCAAUUUGAUUAUGUUUCGGCCCAUGGAAUCAAGCAAGCUUGUGAAUGGAUCAAUUCAUUGGUCCGCUACAAAUCUCAACAAUAACUCUUGCGUUAUCAUAGCCCUUGACUUAGGGGAGGAGACAUACAGGGAAAUUCCAAAACCUGAUUUUGGGAAGUUUGGGAAGGAGUGUUCAUUGCUAUCUGUUAGGGCUUUGAGAGGAUGCCUAUGUGCUGUUUGUGAGUAUGCUUUUAGCUUUGAUAUGUGGGUAAUGAAUGAAUAUGGCAGGAAAGAGUGAUGGACUAAAUUGAUCAGUAUGCCAUACUUGCCAGAGCCCCAACCAAUUCGGCACUCAAGACCAUUGUGGUAUAUGAAGGAUGGUGGGGUUUUGAUUAAUCUUAAUGGGGUAUUUUUCGUUUAUGAUCUCAUAGACCAUACACUCAAGCAUCCUUUAAUUUGUGGCAUUCAUUAUUUUCACCAAGCAGACGUCUAUGUGGAGAGCUUAGUUUCACCUAAUGCAUUUAAAAAUAUGCCGACUUACCUUAAUGAGUAACGAAAGAGAGGAAGCCUGAAUCAUGAAGUCAUGAGGAAAUGAUGUUAAGGAAAAGGAACAGUAAUGCCAAAUCAGCACCAGACCAAAAUGGCCUGGGGUCCGUUUUUGGCCAUGAAAUGGCCCUGUUUCAUGUCGUAGCAGACCCUAUUGCCCUUUAGGGCACAGUAGGUCUCCCAACUUGCCUUUUAUAGGGAUGGAUCUCAACUAAGUACCAAGCGCCUCAUAGGAAUGGGCUUCAGCACAAUUUAAUAAUACUUGUCUACAACAUGUUGCUUGUUGGAGUUACGAGGUUCAGAGACAAUGUUGAUAUACUACAUUUUAAUUUUUGUCCUGACGAAUCAAAAUAAAAUAUGGCUGGGUAUUUUGGCUCAUGAAUGAGAACUACAUUGAGAAGCAUUGAAGGUGAUGACGAAUUUAAUUCUAUCUGUUGAUAUCAAAAGAUGUUAUGAGUAUCUUGAGUAGACAUUCCGUAAUUAACAUUACUUGCUUGCUGUGGAACCUUCAACAACCAUGGUUCAAGGUUUGCUAAGAAUUUCACCAAAGGGUCAACCGAGGUUGUGAUGUUCAAAUUAGGUUUGAAACUGAAUCAUUGUGCCAAGUUUUCUGAAGAUAUCAUUUCCCUGUUGUUUGGUGUCCUUCCACUCUUACUCAUAAGUGGUUAGAAGUCAUUACCAAACUCGAUCAAAUGUGACUUUUAAGAAGCAUUUUGCAGAUUUUAGAGAUCAAGGGAACUGAGGGAGAAUACAUGUAAAAUUUCUUAGGGAUGGUGUUAAUUUGUCAUUGAUGCACCCCUCAAAAAUCAGGAAUCAACAAUUAGCAAGAAGCGAGUGUCUUAAGUAUCUUGGGUCAAUUGUUAGUAAGGAUGGAUAGAUUGCGGAUGAUGCAACACAGAGUACAAGUAUGAUGGAUCAAAGUGGCAGAGUGUUUAAGGAAUGUUGUGCGACCACAGGGAUACCCGCAAAGUUGAAAGGGAAAUUCUAACCUAUUGCUAUAGGGCC